AUUAACUCCCAGUUAAUGGGAUAAAAUGAGUUUGAAUCUGGGAUUCUGGUCAUUAACCCCAUGUCACCAUCUGCUCCAGCAGUUUGAUGGCAGGGCUAGGUGAAUUCUAAUCACCCAACACUUGUUAAACUGCUGAUUCCUGCUUCCCCACCUCUGCUGACUCAGCAUCUCUGGGGUGGGGCCUGCAAAGGCUCUCUUCCUUGACGGGGUUAUUGAGGGCAGCUCUAGGAACCCACCCAGGACCAGACCUGAUGAGGAGUUCCUCCUAUGCAUCAGUCUACUUCUGUCCCUCUUUCCCCUGCGAAGGAAAAAUAGAAGAAAGAAGCCAUCUCUGUUUGCUUUCUCCCUGUCACUCAAUCUCUGGAGCCAACUGCUUCACAAAUAAAGAGAAGUGCACAGAGAGUCCCUGAAGCCCACCAUCAACAGACAGGCUUUCAACAAAACUGUAUCAGCACCGCCUUGGCCAUAGCUACACUCUACAGAAAAUGGGAGAGAGGAACAGCGCUAGAGAAGUUUGUCCUUGCCUGGUUCCCGGGUGGAACUUCCUCUCCCCCUUGUGUUCUAUGCGUGUGGUUACAGCUGCCUCUGAUCUUUGGUGACCAGCGGUUGGCAGUGGUGGUAUUUCAGCAUACCUUGAUCAUCGUGCUUAUUACACAGCCUCCUUUACCAUCAACCCUACCUACCUUCUUCUAGCCAUGCCCCCCACCUCCUCCCGUCUCUAUCCAUCUCUUCGCUCUUUUAAAAAAUACUUAAGUGUGUACAGAUCACAGUGACUUCAUUUGUGUGCCCAUUCACAUUUGAUGACUUCCAUAACCCCCAUA
rnacentral:lncRNA from 1 species